rnacentral:rRNA from 1 species
AUGGACAUGACUUGGAUAACUUCUGCUCGAAGAUUCUCCGCUGCAUAUGUCGAGGGGGUUGAAAACUUCAUGAACUUUAUCAGAGCUGAGUACGAUGGUCCGAAAUCAGAUGUGCUCUGCCCGUGUAGCAGUUGUAUGAAUUCAGUUAUAAGACCCCAGUUAACUAUGCAAAAUCAUCUACACUUGUAUGGGAUGUCGGUCACAUAUACUAGGUGGGUUCAUCAUGGUGAAACUAUGAACGUCAAUGUUAUUGACUACAUGGAAGCAGCAGAUCACCAUCUUGAUCUGCCUGAUGCUCAGGUGGAAGAGGAGGAGGAGGUGGUGGUGGCGGAGCCAGUGAGUUUAACCAACAUUGAAACAAUGCUACGGAAUGCUCGUGCAUUCCGUGAACUUUCACCCGCAGAAGAAAAAUGA